GGGUUGUGAGGUUAAGCGACUAAGCGUACACGGUGGAUGCCCUGGCAGUCAGAGGCGAUGAAGGACGUGCUAAUCUGCGAUAAGCGUCGGUAAGGUGAUAUGAACCGUUAUAACCGGCGAUUUCCGAAUGGGGAAACCCAGUGUGAUUCGUCACACUAUCAUUAACUGAAUCCAUAGGUUAAUGAGGCGAACCGGGGGAACUGAAACAUCUAAGUACCCCGAGGAAAAGAAAUCAACCGAGAUUCCCCCAGUAGCGGCGAGCGAACGGGGAGCAGCCCAGAGUCUGAAUCAGUGUGUGUGUUAGUGGAAGCGUCUGGAAAGGCGCGCGAUACAGGGUGACAGCCCCGUACACAAAAAUGCACAUGCUGUGAGCUCGAUGAGUAGGGCGGGACACGUGGUAUCCUGUCUGAAUAUGGGGGGACCAUCCUCCAAGGCUAAAUACUCCUGACUGACCGAUAGUGAACCAGUACCGUGAGGGAAAGGCGAAAAGAACCCCGGCGAGGGGAGUGAAAAAGAACCUGAAACCGUGUACGUACAAGCAGUGGGAGCACGCUUAGGCGUGUGACCGCGUACCUUUUGUAUAAUGGGUCAGCGACUUAUAUUCUGUAGCAAGGUUAACCGAAUAGGGGAGCCGAAGGGAAACCGAGUCUUAACUGGGCGUUAAGUUGCAGGGUAUAGACCCGAAACCCGGUGAUCUAGCCAUGGGCAGGUUGAAGGUUGGGUAACACUAACUGGAGGACCGAACCGACUAAUGUUGAAAAAUUAGCGGAUGACUUGUGGCUGGGGGUGAAAGGCCAAUCAAACCGGGAGAUAGCUGGUUCUCCCCGAAAGCUAUUUAGGUAGCGCCUCGUGAACUCAUCUCCGGGGGUAGAGCACUGUUUCGGCAAGGGGGUCAUCCCGACUUACCAACCCGAUGCAAACUGCGAAUACCGGAGAAUGUUAUCACGGGAGACACACGGCGGGUGCUAACGUCCGUCGUGAAGAGGGAAACAACCCAGACCGCCAGCUAAGGUCCCAAAGUCAUGGUUAAGUGGGAAACGAUGUGGGAAGGCCCAGACAGCCAGGAUGUUGGCUUAGAAGCAGCCAUCAUUUAAAGAAAGCGUAAUAGCUCACUGGUCGAGUCGGCCUGCGCGGAAGAUGUAACGGGGCUAAACCAUGCACCGAAGCUGCGGCA
rnacentral:rRNA from 1 species